UACGUAGGGGGCAAGCGUUGUCCGGACUUAUUGGGCGUAAAGAGCGUGUAGGCGGCUAGAUAGGUCCGUUGUGAAAACUCGAGGCUCAACCUCGAGACGUCGAUGGAAACCAUCUGGCUAGAGUCCGGAAGAGGAGAGUGGAAUUCCUGGUGUAGCGGUGGAAUGCGCAGAUAUCAGGAGGAACACCGGUGGCGAAGGCGGGUCUCUGGGCAGUAACUGACGCUGAGGAGCGAAAGCGUGGGGAGCGAACAGG
rnacentral:rRNA from 1 species